GGGUAUCACAGUAGUUCAGAUGGUAGAACGCUCGCUUAGCAUGCGAGAGGCACGGGGAUCGAUACCCCGCAUCUCCA
rnacentral:ncRNA from 7 species